rnacentral:rRNA from 1 species
UGGGGAAUAUUGCACAAUGGGCGCAAGCCUGAUGCAGCAACGCCGCGUGAGGGACGACGGCCUUCGGGUUGUAAACCUCUUUUAGUAGGGAAGAAGCGAAAGUGACGGUACCUGCAGAAAAAAGCACCGGCUAACUACGUGCCAGCAGCCGCGGUAAUACGUAGGGUGCGAGCGUUGUCCGGAAUUAUUGGGCGUAAAGAGCUCGUAGGCGGUCUGUCGCGUCUGCUGUGAAAACCCGAGGCUCAACCUCGGGCCUGCAGUGGGUACGGGCAGACUAGAGUGCGGUAGGGGAGAAUGGAAUUCCUGGUGUAGCGGUGGAAUGCGCAGAUAUCAGGAGGAACACCGAUGGCGAAGGCAGUUCUCUGGGCCGUAACUGACGCUGAGGAGCGAAAGCGUGGGGAGCGAACAGGAUUAGAUACCCUGGUAGUCCACGCCGUAAACGUUGGGCGCUAGAUGUGGGGACCAUUCCACGGUUUCCGUGUCGCAGCUAACGCAUUAAGCGCCCCGCCU